GACGAACGCUGGCGGCGCGCUUAACACAUGCAAGUCGAACGGAAAGGCCUGCUUUCCCUUGUGGAUUGCGGGUACUCGAGUGGCGAACGGGUGAGUAACACGUGAGUGAUCUGCCCCCAACUUGGGUAUAAGCCUGGGAAACUGGGUCUAAUUCCCGAUAGGACUGCAGGGUGGUGCCUGUUGUGGAAAACGAUUUUCUAGUGGUUGGGGAUGAGCUCGCGGCCUAUCAGCUUGUUGUUGGGGUAAUGGCCUACCAAGGCGGCGACGGGUAGCCGGCCUGAGAGGGUGGACGGCGACAUUGGGACUGAGAAACGGCCCAGACUCCGACGGGAGGCAGAAGUGGGGAAUAUUGCACAAUGGGCGGAAGCCUGAUGCAGCGACGCCGGGUGGGGGAUGACGGCCUUCGGGUUGUAAACUCCUUUCGACCGCGAGGAAGCCACCUGGUUGGAAGGGUGGUGACGGUAGUGGUAGAAGAAGCACCGGCUAACUACGUG
rnacentral:rRNA from 1 species